CACAACGCUGCCGUCAUGCACGUACACCUACACAACUCCUCUCAGAGGUUGUAGGGAGAUCAACAGUUUACAUUUUCAGACAGCCUGCGUGUUGAGGAGAUUUCUUCAUACCUCACUGUUUAGGUUGUCAUUUUUGUUGUUCAUAUCUACAUCUUUAGUUUAACAGUAGAUUGUUUUGUUUUGUGUUUUUAAGCAACAACAAGGAUAUGCAACAUGAUUUUUUUUGGACUGUUGUUUUUUGUUCUGGCUUUAUCAAACUUCUGUACUGUCAAUAGCAGGCCGACGGGUGUCCACCUGCGUAACAUGGACAGCUUCAUCCGUGCUGUGCAGCAGGUUGAAGACUCCAACCCCGGUCUGUCCUCCCUUGCUUUGGUCAGGGCCUUGCGGAGGACCGCCGGCCACGACGAUGCAAUGACCAUCCACUUCCUGGGUGCUUCAUUUAAUCAUAGUGAUACUGAGGUCCUCGAGACAGCUAUCCUCAAUGCUUCGUCCUUCAGCUUUUUUGACAAGGCCAUUCACCACAUUGUGACAGAUUACGGAGAGGAACGAGGCGUGGUUCUCGCUCCAGAUGGCACCACGGUUGCUCUUGCACCCUUAUUGCUAGGAAUCGAAUCAGGACUGAAAGCUCAGAUGGAGGCGACACCAGCUGUUGGUAUCUUCCCUCUCACCUUAGGCAGGACCCUGGGCCUGUCCUUCCUUAGCCUCCAGGAUUUUCCACCAUCUAGUCGCCUGGGGCCUAAUGGAUGCUGGGACAGUGUUGACCACCCUAAGGUGUUCAAGCUGUCUAGACCUGCCACUCUUGCCACUGAUGCUGUUAUUAAUGCGGGCAUGGAUGGAGCUAUACUGGGCAUGGACCUCAGCAGUCUACCUGCAUCCGAACAGCCACCGGCCCUAAGUGACAUUUUAAAAGGAUAUUAUAGUUUUAUCCUGCAUGAGGGGCAGGGUCUUGAUGGUUUGUCCAGCCAUGUUAGCCCAAGGCGGAGGGAGAUCUCCAGAACCAUUCUGGCGCCCCUCGAUCUUCACAGCCAGGUGAUGGAGACGCUAGCAUUGGUCUGGAAGUUAGAGAAGACAGAAUGGAUUAGUCUGGACACGGGAGUCGGGAAGGCGGUGAAGGAUGGAUUGCAGGCAUUUGUACACAAAUACUGGGACUGCCCUCAGUUUAUCCCUCGCUGUCAGUGGGGGGCAAAGGCCCACAAGGGUACACCUAUCCCACUGUCUCUGCCCCUGAAAUAUCUCUAUGUUCAUCACACCUAUGAGCCAUCCUCGCCCUGUUUGUCUUUCCCAAACUGCUCUCGCAACAUGAGAGCCAUGCAGCGUUUCCACCAGGAAGACCGUGGGUGGAAUGACAUUGGAUACAGCUUUGUUGUUGGCUCUGACGGCUACAUUUAUGAAGGCAGAGGUUGGAACCAACUUGGCCGACACACCAGGGGACACAAUGACAUUGGGUAUGGCGUGUCAAUCAUUGGUAACUACACUGCUACCCUGCCGUCUCGCCAUGCCAUGAACCUGCUGCGCCAUCAUCUAGUCCGCUGUGCUGUAGAUGGAGGAAGACUGGCUCCCAGCUUCACCAUCCAUGGCCACAGACAGAUGGUGAACUACACUGCCUGCCCUGGAGAUGCCUUCUUUUCAGAAAUAAGAAGCUGGGAGCACUUCAGGGUAUGACAGCUAUCACUGUUGUCUAUUAACAGUUAAAAGGAUUUCACUACACAAGGGAAACUGACUCUUCAAAAACAGAAGAAUGAAAGGACUGGCCCACUGUAAUAAAUAAAUGUUUUUAAUACCUGUCUUGUUCAUUUUUAUCAAAUUUUCCACCAAUAGGAUUCAUCACCAAGAACAUCUAACAGCAGAAAGACGUAUGUAUUGACAAAAUAUUGAUGAUGAUUCAAACUAUGCAGGGAUCACUUUACCACAACAUUAAUUAAACAAACGUAAACUUG